rnacentral:tRNA from 1 species
GGAGGAGUCGCAUAGCGGCCUAUUGCACACGCUUGGAAAGCGUGAAACCCUUCACGGGGUUCGUGGGUUCAAAUCCCACCUCCUCCG